UUGAAAGGGAAACGAUUGAAGUCAGUCGUGUUGGCGCGAAAUCAACCUUCCUCGUCUCGAGAUCCAUUGGGGUGGCGAGCCCAAAACCCGUCCCGAACGGUGACUCUUGGUGAAAUGGACACUUUCGUGUCCGCUGGUUAACAUCAAUUUGANNUAUAAAAAGGCUGGAGGGAUGUGGUCUUGGGAGUGUUAUAACUUUAGGGAAUGUGGUGGUGGGAUUGAGGAUUGANGAAUCCUUUAGGGCUGUUCCCCCUGGCUUUCAUUGGUAUCCUGGUGANGACAGCUUGCUGACGUUGUUAGGAUUCGCCUUUGAACANCUCUAGANUCCGNCAAACGUUAAGGAUGUUGACGUA
rnacentral:rRNA from 1 species